UACAGAGGAUGCAAGCGUUAUCCGGAAUGAUUGGGCGUAAAGCGUCUGUAGGUGCUUUUUAAGUCCGCCGUCAAAUCCCAGGGCUCAACUCUGGACAGGCGGUGGAAACUACCAAGCUGGAGUACGGUAGGGGCAGAGGGAAUUUCCGGUGGAGCGGUGAAAUGCGUAGAGAUCAUGAGGAAGACCAGUGGCGAAGGCGGGUCUCUGGACAGUUCCUGACACUGAGGCACGAAGGCCAGGGGAGCAAACGGG
rnacentral:rRNA from 1 species